rnacentral:rRNA from 1 species
UUAAGCGACUAAGCGUACACGGUGGAUGCCCUGGCAGUCAGAGGCGAUGAAGGACGUGCUAAUCUGCGAAAAGCGUCGGUAAGGUGAUAUGAACCGUUAUAACCGGCGAUGUCCGAAUGGGGAAACCCAGUGCAAUUCGUUGCACUAUCGUUAACUGAAUACAUAGGUUAACGAGGCGAACCGGGGGAACUGAAACAUCUAAGUACCCCGAGGAAAAGAAAUCAACCGAGAUUCCCCCAGUAGCGGCGAGCGAACGGGGAGCAGCCCAGAGUCUGAAUCAGCUUGUGUGUUAGUGGAACGGUCUGGAAAGUCCGACGGUACAGGGUGAUAGUCCCGUACACCAAAAUGCACAGGUUGUGAACUCGAAGAGUAGGGCGGGACACGUGGUAUCCUGUCUGAAUAUGGGGGGACCAUCCUCCAAGGCUAAAUACUCCUGACUGACCGAUAGUGAACCAGUACCGUGAGGGAAAGGCGAAAAGAACCCCGGCGAGGGGAGUGAAAAAGAACCUGAAACCGUGUACGUACAAGCAGUGGGAGCACCUUCGGGUGUGACUGCGUACCUUUUGUAUAAUGGGUCAGCGACUUAUAUUCUGUAGCAAGGUUAACCGUAUAGGGGAGCCGCAGGGAAACCGAGUCUUAACUGGGCGUUAAGUUGCAGGGUAUAGACCCGAAACCCGGUGAUCUAGCCAUGGGCAGGUUGAAGGUUGGGUAACACUAACUGGAGGACCGAACCGACUAAUGUUGAAAAAUUAGCGGAUGACUUGUGGCUGGGGGUGAAAGGCCAAUCAAACCGGGAGAUAGCUGGUUCUCCCCGAAAGCUAUUUAGGUAGCGCCUCGUGAACUCAUCUUCGGGGGUAGAGCACUGUUUCGGCUAGGGGGUCAUCCCGACUUACCAACCCGAUGCAAACUACGAAUACCGAAGAAUGUUAUCACGGGAGACACACGGCGGGUGCUAACGUCCGUCGUGAAGAGGGAAACAACCCAGACCGCCAGCUAAGGUCCCAAAGUCAUGGUUAAGUGGGAAACGAUGUGGGAAGGCACAGACAGCCAGGAUGUUGGCUUAGAAGCAGCCAUCAUUUAAAGAAAGCGUAAUAGCUCACUGGUCGAGUCGGCCUGCGCGGAAGAUGUAACGGGGCUAAACCAUGCACCGAAGCUGCGGCAGCGACACUAUGUGUUGUUGGGUAGGGGAGCGUUCUGUAAGCCUGCGAAGGUGACCUGUGAGGGUUGCUGGAGGUAUCAGAAGUGCGAAUGCUGACAUAAGUAACGAUAAAGCGGGUGAAAAGCCCGCUCGCCGGAAGACCAAGGGUUCCUGUCCAACGUUAAUCGGGGCAGGGUGAGUCGACCCCUAAGGCGAGGCCGAAAGGCGUAGUCGAUGGGAAACAGGUUAAUAUUCCUGUACUUGGUGUUACUGCGAAGGGGGGACGGAGAAGGCUAUGUUAGCCGGGCGACGGUUGUCCCGGUUUAAGCAUGUAGGCUGAUUGUCCAGGCAAAUCCGGAUAAUCAAGGCUGAGGUGUGAUGACGAGGCACUACGGUGCUGAAGUAACAAAUGCCCUGCUUCCAGGAAAAGCCUCUAAGCAUCAGGUAACAUCAAAUCGUACCCCAAACCGACACAGGUGGUCAGGUAGAGAAUACCAAGGCGCUUGAGAGAACUCGGGUGAAGGAACUAGGCAAAAUGGUGCCGUAACUUCGGGAGAAGGCACGCUGGUGUGUAGGUGAAGCCCCUGCGGGUGGAGCUGAGACCAGUCGAAGAUACCAGCUGGCUGCAACUGUUUAUUAAAAACACAGCACUGUGCAAACACGAAAGUGGACGUAUACGGUGUGACGCCUGCCCGGUGCCGGAAGGUUAAUUGAUGGGGUUAUCCGUAAGGAGAAGCUCUUGAUCGAAGCCCCGGUAAACGGCGGCCGUAACUAUAACGGUCCUAAGGUAGCGAAAUUCCUUGUCGGGUAAGUUCCGACCUGCACGAAUGGCGUAAUGAUGGCCAGGCUGUCUCCACCCGAGACUCAGUGAAAUUGAACUCGCUGUGAAGAUGCAGUGUACCCGCGGCAAGACGGAAAGACCCCGUGAACCUUUACUAUAGCUUGACACUGAACAUUGAGCCUUGAUGUGUAGGAUAGGUGGGAGGCUUUGAAGCGUGGACGCCAGUCUGCGUGGAGCCAACCUUGAAAUACCACCCUUUAAUGUUUGAUGUUCUAACGUUGGCCCCUGACCGGGGUUGCGGACAGUGUCUGGUGGGUAGUUUGACUGGGGCGGUCUCCUCCCAAAGCGUAACGGAGGAGCACGAAGGUUAGCUAAUCCUGGUCGGACAUCAGGAGGUUAGUGCAAUGGCAUAAGCUAGCUUGACUGCGAGCGUGACGGCGCGAGCAGGUGCGAAAGCAGGUCAUAGUGAUCCGGUGGUUCUGAAUGGAAGGGCCAUCGCUCAACGGAUAAAAGGUACUCCGGGGAUAACAGGCUGAUACCGCCCAAGAGUUCAUAUCGACGGCGGUGUUUGGCACCUCGAUGUCGGCUCAUCACAUCCUGGGGCUGAAGUAGGUCCCAAGGGUAUGGCUGUUCGCCAUUUAAAGUGGUACGCGAGCUGGGUUUAGAACGUCGUGAGACAGUUCGGUCCCUAUCUGCCGUGGGCGCUGGAGAAUUGAGGGGGGCUGCUCCUAGUACGAGAGGACCGGAGUGGACGCAUCACUGGUGUUCGGGUUGUCAUGCCAAUGGCACUGCCCGGUAGCUAAAUGCGGAAGAGAUAAGUGCUGAAAGCAUCUAAGCACGAAACUUGCCCCGAGAUGAGUUCUCCCUGAGACUUUAAGUCUCCUGAAGGAACGUUGAAGACGACGACGUUGAUAGGCCGGGUGUGUAAGCGCAGCGAUGCGUUGAGCUAACCGGUACUAAUGAACCGUGAGGCUUAACCU